GGGUACACGUUCACGGCAAGUGUACCUUGGAAAGAGGAGAAGUCGGAAGUUUCAAGAGUAAACUUAUAAACGAUGAUGGUGGUUCUAGACGUGGCUGCCGGCGAGGCGGGCCCGAGCGCGGGGCCCAAAACGUCGCCGGCGGCGCGGGAGGAUGAGUAGCCCCGUACCGCGAGCGGGUCUACCGGCCCACACCCAGCGCGCGAAGUCGCGGUAGGUAAAAGCCCCGAUCAACUAAGCCGUUCACUCAACAAUGUGUGAGGAAUCGCCUAAAGCUGAAGGUACUGGUAGCAGGACGACAAAAUUAGC
rnacentral:rRNA from 1 species